AUUGAACGCUGGCGGCAGGCCUAACACAUGCAAGUCGAACGGUAGCACAGAGAGCUUGCUCUCGGGUGACGAGUGGCGGACGGGUGAGUAACGUCUGGGAAACUGCCCGAUGGAGGGGGAUAACUACUGGAAACGGUAGCUAAUACCGCAUAACGUCGCAAGACCAAAGUGGGGGACCUUCGGGCCUCACACCAUCGGAUGUGCCCAGAUGGGAUUAGCUAGUAGGUGGGGUAAUGGCUCACCUAGGCGACGAUCCCUAGCUGGUCUGAGAGGAUGAACAGCCACGCUGGAACUGAGACACGGGCCAGACUCCGACGGGAGGCAGCAGUGGGGAAUAUUGCACAAUGGGCGCAAGCCUGAUGCAGCCAUGCCGCGUGUAUGAAGAAGGCCUUCGGGUUGUAAAGUACUUUCAGCGGGGAGGAAGGCGGUGAAGUUAAUAACUUCACCGAUUGACGUUACCCGCAGAAGAAGCACCGGCUAACUCCGUGCCAGCAGCCGCAGUAA
rnacentral:rRNA from 1 species